rnacentral:tRNA from 1 species
GCAAUGGUGGUUCAGUGGUAGAAUUCUUGCCUUCAAUGCAAGAGACCCACAUUCAAUUCCUGGCCAAUGUA